AUUAGAUACCCUGGUAGUCCACGCCGUAAACUAUGGAUGCUAGCUGUUAUUCGUAUCGACCCGAGUAGUAGCGAAGCUAACGCGUUAAGCAUCCCGCCUGUGGAGUACGGUCGCAAGACUAAAACAUAAAGGAAUUGACGGGGACCCGCACAAGCGGUGGAGCGUGUUGUUUAAUUCGAUGGUAAGCGAAGAACCUUACCCAGACUUGACAUCCUUGGAAGCACUGCGAAAGCAGAGUGUGCCUCCGGGAACCAAGUGACAGGUGUUGCAUGGCCGUCGUCAGCUCGUGUCGUGAGAUGUUUGGUUAAGUCCAUCAACGAGCGCAACCCUUGUGGCUAGUUGAAUUUUUCUAGUCAGACUGCCCUGGUAACAGGGAGGAAGGAGGGGAUGAUGUCAGGUCAGUAUUACCCUUACGUCUGGGGCUACAAACACGCUACAAUGGCCGGUACAAAGGGCUGCCAAGUCGCGAGACGGAGCAAAUCCCAUCAAAACCGGUCCCAGUUCGGAUUGCAGGCUGAAACUCGCCUGCAUGAAGUCGGAAUCGCUAGUAACGGUAGGUCAGCACACUACCGUGAAUACGUUCCCGGGUCUUGUACACACCGCCCGUCAAACCAUGAAAGUCGCCAAUACCUGACGUCUUAGCUAGUCUAGGCCUAAGGUAGGGGAGAUGAUUGGGGUUAAGUCGUAACAAGGUAUC
rnacentral:rRNA from 1 species